rnacentral:rRNA from 1 species
UACGAAGGGGGCUAGCGUUGCUCGGAAUUACUGGGCGUAAAGCGCACGUAGGCGAAAUGUUAAGUCAGGGGUGAAAUCCCGGGGCUCAACCCCGGAACUGCCUUUGAUACUGGCAUUCUCGAGUCCGGAAGAGGUGAGUGGAAUUCCGAGUGUAGAGGUUAAAUUCGUAGAUAUUCGGAGGAACACCAGUGGCGAAGGCGGCUCACUGGUCCGGUACUGACGCUGAGGUGCGAAAGCGUGGGGAGCAAACAGG